rnacentral:tRNA from 1 species
GCUGAGGUAGCCAAGCGGACCACGGCGCCGGUCUUGAAAACCGGUGGUGCAUAGCGCCUCGGGAGUUCGAAUCUCUCCCUCAGCG